UCUAUAAUAUGAUCCAGAUUUGAUGUCAUCAAAUCUGAUUCUGUGGAUUCACUAGAUUGUAUCGGUUCUACCAAUUGAACUUUAUCAAGUUCAACUUUAGAGGCAUUAAUUUCUUUCUCAAGAAUUUUUUUUUUCCAAAAAAACUACGUUAAGGCUGACGAACACAUUUUGUUUAUCAACAAGAUAGAAAUAAUAUCUUUUAAUUUUUUUGGAUAUCCUAUGAAAAUAUACUUGUCAGACUUGGCUCUGAGUUUGUCUAUUUUUAAUCAUUUGACAUAAGUCAGACAUCCCCAAACCCUU
rnacentral:lncRNA from 1 species